GACGAACGCUGGCGGCGUGCUUAACACAUGCAAGUCGAACGGAAAGGCCCUGCUUUUGUGGGGUGCUCGAGUGGCGAACGGGUGAGUAACACGUGAGUAACCUGCCCUUGACUUUGGGAUAACUUCAGGAAACUGGGGCUAAUACCGGAUAGGAGCUCCUGCUGCAUGGUGGGGGUUGGAAAGUUUCGGCGGUUGGGGAUGGACUCGCGGCUUAUCAGCUUGUUGGCGGGGUAGUGGCUUACCAAGGCUUUGACGGGUAGCCGGCCUGAGAGGGUGACCGGCCACAUUGGGACUGAGAUAUGGCCCAGACUCCUACGGGAGGCAGCAGUGGGGAAUAUUGCACAAUGGGCGGAAGCCUGAUGCAGCAACGCCGCGUGCGGGAUGACGGCCUUCGGGUUGUAAACCGCUUUCGCCUGUGACGAAGCGUGAGUGACGGUAAUGGGUAAAGAAGCACCGGCUAACUACGUG
rnacentral:rRNA from 1 species